rnacentral:rRNA from 1 species
GACGAACGCUGGCGGCGUGCUUAACACAUGCAAGUCGAACGGGAUUUAGUAAACGGAGGCCUCGGUGGGAGAUUACUAAUGAGAGUGGCGAACGGGUGAGUAACGCGUGAGCAACCUGCCUAUGACAGUGGGAUAGCCUCGGGAAACCGGGAUUAAUACCGCAUCAAAUCGUAGAAACACAUGUUUCAACGGUCAAAGAUGGAUCGGUCAUAGAUGGGCUCGCGUCUGAUUAGCUAGUUGGUGAGAGAACAGCCCACCAAGGCGCCGAACAGGAGCCGGUCGGAGAGGAGGAACCGCCGCAUUGGAACUGAGACACGGUCCAAACUCGUACGGGAGGCAGCAGUGGGGAAUAUUGCACAAGGGAGCAAAACCUGAUGCAGCGACGCGGGGUGAACGAAGAAGGUAUUCGUAUCGUAAUGUUCUGUCCUAUGGGAAGAUAAUGACAGUACCAGAGAAGAAAGCACCGGCUAAAUACGUG